rnacentral:rRNA from 1 species
CUCGGAGUUUGAUCCUGGCUCAGGAUGAACGCUAGCGGCAGGCUUAACACAUGCAAGUCGAGGGGUAUAGUUCUUCGGAGCUAGAGACCGGCGCACGGGUGCGUAACGCGUAUGCAAUCUACCUUUUACAGAGGGAUAGCCCAGAGAAAUUUGGAUUAAUACCUCAUAGUAUGUGAGAAUCGCAUGGUUUUUCACAUUAAAGUCACAACGGUAAAAGAUGAGCAUGCGUCCCAUUAGCUUGUUGGUAAGGUAACGGCUUACCAAGGCAACGAUGGGUAGGGGUCCUGAGAGGGAGAUCCCCCGACACGUGGUACUGAGACACGGACCAGACUCCGUACGGGGAGGCAGCAGUGAGGAAUAUUGGACAGUGGGCGCAAGCCUGAUCCCAGCCCAUGCCGCGUGCAGGA